GUGCCAGCCGCCGCGGUAAUACAGAGGUCCCAAGCGUUGUUCGGAUUUACUGGGCGUAAAGGGUGCGUAGGUGGUGGACUAAGUCGGGUGUGAAAUCUCCGGGCUCAACCCGGAGCAUGCGCCCGAUACUGGACCGCUAGAGGAUGGGAGGGGAGACUGGAAUUCUCGGUGUAGCAGUGAAAUGCGUAGAUAUCGAGAGGAACACCGGUGGCGAAGGCGAGUCUCUGGACCAUUCCUGACACUGAGGCACGAAAGCCGGGGGAGCAAACAGGAUUAGAUACCCUUGUAGUCC
rnacentral:rRNA from 1 species